GCCGCGGAAAGCGGGGCGUUUGGCGUGCGCGGCUUGAUGUUCCGGACUCGUGGGUUUUCACCUACAACUCUGCCAAUUCCUUUACAAGUCCAACAUUACCCAUUCAUAGAUCUUGUGCAUGAAGAAGCUGUUCCUUCUAGAAGAGUCUUAAAUAUGUAUCCCAAGUACAUGUCCUAAGCCGAUGGAAAGAGAAUCUGUGGACCCUCCACACCCAGCGAAAUCUAAACUCUACAGGGGAAACCCUGGCCACCAACACAACAGAAGGCUGACCUGGAUUUUCAAGUGUUCUGGAUGGGGGGUGCUCCCACAGUUUCUCCAGGUCACACUCAUCUCUGUUCUGUAUGCAUCCCCUGGAGGGAUCCGCUUUCAUCAGCCACCAUGAGGACUCCCUGACAUUUCCCCACACCGAAACCCCCAUCACACACACACACUCCAGCUGCUUCUGGCUUUCCCAGAAUCCCAACUCCACCACUAUUUCCUUAGGCCAUAAACAAAUGCUGUAAGGAAGAGGUCAUCGUGGGCCUGUCUGACUCUACCGCAGGCCUAGUGUUUCCCCUCUCAGAGUUCAGCGAACUUGGGAUGACACGAAGCUUUGCAAAGAACCAGACAGAGCCAAAAAGUAUCGGACAAGGCUGGUCCACCCAGGCUCGCUGUGGCCAUUGCCUUCCAUGAGCUCUCAGGGAGUGGAGUUUUCCUAUAAACGGGGCUCAGAGUGGGCUCCCUGGGGACAGCAGGAAUCGUGCAGAGAUGUAAACAGCCGUCCUAAACCACCUCCCCUCCAGGGCCCCAGUCCUCACUGCAGGAUGCAUUGCAGUCCAAAUGCCCAUCUCCCCUUCCCCUGAGUGCUGUUCCGCCUCAAAGGUGCCCUCAUUUUUCUUACUUUCUCAAUAACCACUGGGAACCUGCCCUGUGGAAACAGAACUGCCUUUUGGUAUCUACCAUCCGGCUUCAACCGACAACUGGUAAGCCAGAGCUCCACAGUCAAAUUCCUGUCUCAAAGUGCAGGUGGGAAGAUUGGUCCCGGGAGAUGCUAGAAGGUGCUUGGGGAGGGAGUAGGGGAAGAAAGGAGGACCACAAGGGCUACUUCGUAAGCAGGUUGCCCCUGGGGUCCUCUGGAUGUAACAGGGUGGUCCCAGGAAAGGGGGAGGUUCCCUGCCCCACCCAAGGGAGGGUGGAGCUGAGCAGGAAGAGGAGAAGCUGCAGAAGAGACUGAGGAAGGAAGGAAGCAGGAUGGAGCCAGGAGACCUGGAGGAGGCGCAUGGAGCCUAGAGACACGUGAAGAAACUGCGCUUGUCUUUUGGUCGUGGACUGGGUGACACAGAUGUGGGUGAGACCCGUGGGGAGGUGACAAUGGCAGCUUUUAUCUUGAUGUUGAUUUUGCUCUUUUCCUUCCGAGCUUGUUUGGUUGUUUCUGACUCUUUUUUGUGGGUCCCCACUGGAAGAUGCUUUAGACUUGUGGCAGGCUCUGGGGCCUUGCUCUGGGCCAAUCCCAUAUGGAUGGACUUUUACCCACGAGGGGACGGGUAACUUUGGGUGCUUCAUUUAGAAACUGGACUCUUUGCCUUACCUGUAUUGUUUCCUAGUUUUAUUAAAGUUCCUUCCCAUUAAAGUCAUGUUUUGUGUUGAUGCGGCGGAUGGCAGAACCCAUUUAGAAUGGGCAGGUUUGCGGGGCUUGGGCUGCCCCUCUCUCUGUCCUAUAACAUGGAGUGUCGGCCUACUGGGAGCCUCUGGUAGUAGCAGAGUGGAACAGACCUGCCUCAGAACAGACCUGCCCCCGAGGGCGGGAAGUCCAGUAUUUAUCUAGCAACUUGCUUUUGCUGUUCGCUGCAGCCUGAUCCUGGGGUCUUUCACUUCCUGGCACUCUGGCCACACAAGUGCAGUCACUUUACUAGGGCCAGAGAAAAGCCCCAGGCAAGGAGGCUGGGAGGUUGCAGAAGUCUUUGAACUUGGGCAGCAUGCAGGGAGCUUCGGAUAGCUUCUCCCUCCAGCCUUGCCAUUGAUCGUGAGUGUGGCUCAUCU